CGAACGAAGGCUUCGGCCUUAGUGGCGCACGGGUGCGUAACGCGUGGGAAUCUACCCAAAGGUACGGAAUAACUCAGGGAAACUUGUGCUAAUACCGUAUAAUGUCUUCGGACCAAAGAUUUAUCGCCUUUGGAUGAGCCCGCGUUGGAUUAGCUUGUUGGUGGGGUAACGGCCUACCAAGGCGACGAUCCAUAGCUGGUCUGAGAGGAUGAUCAGCCACACUGGGACUGAGACACGGCCCAGACUCC
rnacentral:rRNA from 1 species